rnacentral:rRNA from 1 species
GGUUGCGAUCAUACCAGCACUAAUGCACCGGAUCCCAUCAGAACUCCGCAGUCAAGCGUGCUUGGGCGAGAGUAGUACUAGGAUGGGUGACCCCCUGGGAAGUCCUCGUGUUGCAACGC